rnacentral:lncRNA from 1 species
CCUGAGAAAGGAAUAAAUACUUUAUACUCGAGCUCCAUCCUGUACUAGUUCCAUUACCCCCCCAAAAAAACUUGAGGAUUCUAAUAGAACAGAAGAAAAAAAUGUCGAGCCAAGAGCCCAUUCAUAUAAAAUCGAAAAUGGUGGAUGUAAAAAACAAAUCCACAGCGGAUCAUGUCCUUCAAGUCGCACGUUGCUUUCUACCACAUCGUUUCAAACGAAGUUUUACCAUAACAUUUCUCUAGUUUGGAACCGGUAUGUAAUUGAUUCCAGU